CCCUUGGAAUGCAGCCUGCCGACUGCAGCAAGCCUUGUUUUGAGAACUCGUGCACCAGCAGCAUUUGUUACUUUGCUCUGCUUGUGGAUCCAUUCAGCGGUAUAGAAUACUGCUGCAGGUGUCGGGAUAACACGAACUGUGACUACUGUCCGUGCCAGGGUGAAAAUGGACCAACCGCAGAGAAAGUUACAUCCAGCUACCAGAACAGGACAUGCAAGAAGUGUACUUGCACUAACGACGAAAUUAACUGCUACCCCGAAAACCCUGUGUGUGCAUCAACUACACCAGAAGGAACACCAGCAACUACCAUCACUACAGUCAAAAUCUCAACCACCCAAUCAACAACUUCAGAGAUAACUGCUUCCGCUGCGCGGACAACUACGGAGACUACGCAGCCUCCGUCAACAGUGACAACACCUACUCGAAAGACGACUCCACCCGAAGGAACCACUGCAGUUACAACCGAAGAAACUGGGAAUUGUAUACCCACCUCGUUCCCAGAUGUUGUUGUGAUCAACAAAGGUACUGUCAACUGUACGUCAGUGGAGAAAGUCUUGUACACGGGCUGUAGGGGAGGAUGCGGUGAGUCGGACACUCGCGUGGAGAUGCUGGCGAUGUCUCAACUCCAAUAUGACUGCCACUGCUGCAAGCCAUCCGCGGUGUACAGGAAAUUUGUCGGCAUGGCGUGCACAGAUGGGUCUAAGUUUGACUACCAUUACUACGAGAUCGCGGCAUGUGCGUGUAAUUCGUGUGACUAUGAUCCUCUGGCUAUCGGUUACUGAGUACAAAAUGGUUUAUUUACUGUCACGUCUGUUCUAUUCUCCAGUUACACACAAAAACAGUGUCCCACGUUCAUUAUUGAAUGUUACUUUACAAAAUUGGAAUUAUCUGAGGCCCGACAAUAAUCAGUUUUGUUGGCAGGGUAGACUUGAUUCGCCAGAAUCAAGUGAACAACAGAAAAAUGACGGGAAUGUAUGCUGCCAACUGCUUUCAUUUUGCAUAAAAUAAUGCGCUGAAUACAGACCCUUAUUACAAUAUUAUACAAGUUAAUCUCUAACUGAAAUCGUGAAACUUAAGCUGGAGAAUAUGACAAUCGCUGGCAAAUUUGACUACGGCUUUGAAAAUGUAUGUUGAGUGCUUUAGUAAUGCUAGAUUGCUUUGCUUAGAUUUAGACGCUUUUUGCUCAUUUUGGUUAGGGAGGCACGUUGUGCUUGCAUAUACAGAGUGGUCCAAAAUAGUUUUUAAAAAAGUUCACACGCGUGUUUCUCGGAAUCGAGGAGACAUGUUAAUACUGUUUGAAGCUAUUUCAAACUACAACAUCCUUGUGGUAUUUGAUUAAAAUGGCGCUGAAAAUAAAGCCUAAAUUAAGAAAUGGCGAUAGUUUAAAGAAAGUUGCGAAAUCUGUUUGUCCACACGCCUGCAGGUCUAUGACGGUCAACGCAAUAGCACUGCGUGCACAAACAAUCGCAAAAAUUAGCUCUACCUGACUACCAUAGACUUGGUCCAAAUUUCUUAACUUGAGCUUUAUUUUCAACGUCUUUUUCACAAUUAACUACUAAGUUCUUGUUGCUUUGGAAUAUCCUAAAACAGUUUCAGUUUUGGACCACUCUGUACAAGUAGCUUUUAUGUAUUAAUCAAUGAAUUAUUUAUUCCUUUAUUUUCUUAGAAUAAAAUAUUUAGGCCACGGUCGUCGCUACAGAGGGGAGGGGUGCCACAGCCCCCAUUAGUCAGUUUUGUUGGUAAAACCAUGGUGAUGUCAGCAAAAUAGAAAAUGAAGAAUGGACAAGGAAGGGGAAAGGAAGAGGGAAGAAGAAAAAAUGGAGAAUGUAAAUAAUAAACACCGCUGCUAAAAACCCUGUGAAGCUAAAAUCCGGUUCGGCAACCCAUGGCAAAAGAUUGUACAUUCUGUCAUGUCGGCACGAGCUGCCACGUGAGGUCGCUUCAUAAAC
rnacentral:misc_RNA from 1 species